UAAAAAAUGACUGAUUUCCAGCUUCCUUUAUAUAUACAAAAUCAGGAGAAGGGACAUUGGUCCCAUGUGGUCAAAAUCCACUGGCGUGAGUGUUGGCUGUCUGUUAGGACAGCGUGCUUUUCAUACUCCCCAUCUAACCCGCUUCACUCAUCUGUGUGCUUCUUGCAAGAAACACUGGAGUUCUGAGCUCUGUUUUAGGCUGUUUAGUUUCUGAGAAUUCAGUUUUUCCCUUGGAAGAGAUCUCUGUGUGUGAGGUGGGGUGGGGUAGCAGAGAAUGAAUUUGUGAACCUCACAGGAUUCAGUGUGUCAUGGACACUCCAGAGAUGUGUUAAAGGUCACCCCAGUUCCUACUCUUGAAAGCCUCAUGUACACCCUCCAUUGCUCAGACAUGGGACAAUAUGAUUCCUGAAUUAAUCUUUUGCAUUUUCUGCAGGGCGAGAGUGACAAGCCCAGAGGACAACGAGAUGACCAGAUCAACUCCUAUGGAGAAAAAGUGAAGCUUCCCUGAAAGUCUGGAGGAGAUUUGCUCGGUAAAGGCUAGUAAGGGAGAUGCUGCCAUGGAGUGAGGAGGACCCCAGGGACGGCAGAAUGAGAUAUGAAGGCAUUCCUGGGAAGCCCCCAGCUAACAGGUUCAUAUGUGCGGAUCACUGGAUAAUGGGAUCCACAGCCACAGAAGCACAGUGUCAACACAGUCUGCUACUGCCUAGCGCUCAGUGGUCUCCUUGGAAACCAACGAGGCUGCAGGGAAUCUGGGCGGCAGGAGCUGGGCUGCCAAAGGGAUUUGCAACAGAAUUGGCCUCUGGGGGAAAGUUUUCAAUUAGUUCAUUAUUCCAACCUUUUACAAAGCAGAAUCCGAAAAUUCACAGGCCGAAUUGUAUCAGCUCAUCUGUGUACUGAGGAAG
rnacentral:lncRNA from 1 species